UGGGGAAUUUUGGACAAUGGGGGCAACCCUGAUCCAGCAAUGCCGCGUGUGUGAAGAAGGCCUUCGGGUUGUAAAGCACUUUUGUCCGGAAAGAAAUCGCGCUGGUUAAUACCUGGCGUGGAUGACGGUACCGGAAGAAUAAGCACCGGUUAACUACGUGCCAGCAGCCGCGGUAAUACGUAGGGUGCGAGCGUUAAUCGGAAUUACUGGGCGUAAGGCGUGCGCAGGCGGUUUUGUAAGACAGGCGUGAAAUCCCCGGGCUUAACCUGGGAAUUGCGCUUGUGACUGCAAGGCUAGAGUGCGUCAGAGGGGGGUAGAAUUCCACGUGUAGCAGUGAAAUGCGUAGAGAUGUGGAGGAAUACCGAUGGCGAAGGCAGCCCCCUGGGACGUGACUGACGCUCAUGCACGAAAGCGUGGGGAGCAAACAGGAUUAGAUACCCUGGUAGUCCACGCCCUAAACGAUGUCAACUAGUUGUUGGGGAUUCAUUUUCUCAGUAACGUAGCUAACGCGUGAAGUUGACCGCCUGGGGAGUACGGUCGCAAGAUUA
rnacentral:rRNA from 1 species